rnacentral:ncRNA from 1 species
CCGGGUCAACGCAGGCACCCCGGUAUGGCCAGGACGAGUCCCGUCCCAAGCGCUGC